CUAUUUUUACCUUGGGAACUAGGAGUACAAAAAGGGAUUUAGGACCUCAUGGUCCCUCGGUAUUUCUCUCUGUGCUGCCCAUUACCAAACCUUAUUCUCUUUGCUGCAAACACACAGAUUGCUCCUAUCUUGUGAUCUCAAUUUACCAGUUGUGUGAUUUGACUCCUGCCUAUUAGAGAUGCUUGAAUCUCUUUCUUUUGGCAGUGACUUUUUUUUUUUCUUUUUCUUCUUCCCAAUGGAAAAUUGCCUCCUUCCAUAUUGAAAAGAUCUCCAUGGACUUUAAUAUUAAAGUGAGUCAUCUCCAGAAGGUGCAUCAAACAAAACUUGGCAUCAUGUGCACCAUAUCAGCUGUGCCAGCAGGGACUCGGGAAGGAGUUUUACUCCUCCAGGCAAGGCCUGCAUGAAGAGACCAUGUUUGGGAAGUGUUGAUAUCUUUCAUCUUCCACCUACAAGAAUUUCUCUCACUUUUUCCCUAACGUGUUUGAAGUGUUUUGUGGCCAUACCUGUAGCAUCCUGACUUUCAGCUGACUUGUGCCUGCAGCUUCUCUGCAACUCCCUGGCCCCUCCUGCUCACUGAAAUAAUCAGUUUUGUAGCUCUGGGGUUUCCAGAUCAGUGAACUGUGUAGAAAUAUUUAACAUUUUUUGUCCAAAAGAAAAUGACUCUACCAUUAUUUUCUCCUAUCUGAUCAAAAGCCUGCAGGAAGUUGGACUGAGGGCAUUAUCUCGAUUUUGUGGUUUUCCGAGCUUUGUUCCUCACGAAGACAAAAGGAGAGUGUUGAGAAUGACUGAACCACACUAUCGGGAAUGGACAGUAUGACCAACUGAUGUCUGAAAUAGCAAAAGUCAUAAAACUCCUUAUUUGUUCUCUGAUCAGAAAGGGGGAAAUGUAGUAAUUUCCCUCUCUGAUUCCCCUCUCCCUGUGUCAGGACACCCAAGUGUUAGCAAAACACCAGAUCCAUACCAGGGUGGGGGCACAGACUUGUGCAGGAAGAAAUAAACUGCAAACAAAGCAGGCUGGUAACCUUAUCAAAGAAGCUGUGUCAGAGGCAGGAAACUAUUUACAAAUCUAGUCCGCUGCUGGGAAGUUGGUGUUGUCAGAUAUAAGUGUGGCAGAACUUGUGGCAGCGGUGAUUCUCCUCUGGUACGUUUUUGCUGGAUGAGCAAGGAGGUUCAAAAACUGCAUUAUUUGUCACGCACAAAUGUAUGACACAUUGCAAUGAUGUGCAGUAAUCAGCAUCAACGAGCGGUAAUUGAAGAUUCAGCAUUCAUUGUGUAAUAGCAAUAAGCAGCAUUUCACACGGCUGGUAGUUGCAGUGAGCUGUGUUGCUUUGCACGGAGGGGUGAAAAGAAAUACACAUUUCCCCCUUAUGUGAACAGCAAGGAAGACACAGAAAUCUGCCUUCCAGUCUGAUUCACCAUUUCUGUUAGUAAAACGGUGCGUAUCUCAUUUCCUGGGAAGUUGCAAGUAGUGAAAUGAUUCUUGAUGCGUAGUUCUUACACGCGAACCAGUAGUGACUGAGUAAUCUGGAGUUGGGAUGGGGUAAGAGGGUAAAGUUUCAGGAAUGGCUUGAUUUGUGGGACAUAAGACACUUGCACUGUCAACUGCAAAGGGCAUCUCCAUAUGUGCAGACGUUGGCAUUGACAUCAUGCAUCUCACCAUGGUUAUUAGAUCAAUGUUUGCCUCUGAUCACACAUUCACAUGGUGUUACUGAAACUCUUGAGUAUCACUACAGAAAGAAGUUGGUUCUAGGAGCUAUAAUGUGCAAAGUAAAUUUU